rnacentral:rRNA from 1 species
UAAGGAAUAUUGCUCAAUGGGAGAAAUCCUGAAGCAGCAACGCCGCGUGGAGGAUGAAGGGUCUAUGACUUGUAAACUCCUGUAAAGAAGGAAAAAAUUCCCAUUAGAUGGGAGAUGAUGGUACUUCUGGAGUAAGCCCCGGCUAACUACGUGCCAGCAGCCGCGGUAAUACGUAGGGGGCAAGCGUUGUCCGGAUUUACUGGGGGUAAAGGGUGCUCAGGCGGAUUUGUAAGUCAGAGGUGAAAUCUUACAGCUUAACUGUGAAACUGCCUUUGAUACUGCAAGCCUAGAGUAUGGAAGAGAGUGAUGGAAUAUCUGGUGUAGCAGUGAAAUGCGUAGAUAUCAGAUAGAACACCAAUGGCGAAGGCAGUCACUUGGUCCAUUACUGACGCUAAAGCACGAAAGCGUGGGUAGCAAACA